UCAAGCUUGUCUCACUUUUUUCAUGUCCAUAUUAUUUUUUUUCCAGUGCUUUUGAGCCCGACUGGUGUUGGAGGUAACAGCAACUGCUGCAUACAGCUCAGCAUUCCCUCAGAAUGCCAUUUUCUAUGUGGGAUUGGAAGUCAGUCAUUCUGGUCAGUAACAAGGUGGAAAUGUAAUCACAAGUACUUCGCAAAGGUUGCCACCUGCGAUGUCAAGAAUAAAAUAAACUAUGUUAAGCUGUUUGGCCAGGAGCUAACACAGACGUAAGUUACCUCUUCCUGUUUUAUACUAUUCUAGUGUAGCAUCCCAAGUGCAAUUUAAUGCAUUUUAUUAGUUUCCUGGAAGUUUUCCUAGAGUUC